rnacentral:rRNA from 1 species
UACAGAGGGUGCAAGCGUUAUUCGGAAUUAUUGGGCGUAAAGAGCGCGUAGGCGGUUUAGCAAGUUUAGUGUGAAAUCCCUGGACUCAAUCCAGGAAGUGCAUUGAAUACUGCUAGACUAGAGUGCGGGAGAGGAGAGUGGAAUUCCUGGUGUAGAGGUGAAAUUCGUAGAUAUCAGGAGGAACAACAGAGGCGAAGGCGACUCUCUGGACCGCUACUGACGCUGAGGCGCGAAAGUGUGGGGAGCAAACAGG